rnacentral:rRNA from 1 species
UGGGGAAUUUUGCACAAUGGGGGAAACCCUGAUGCAGCGACGCCGCGUGAUUUAGAAGGCCUGCGGGUUGUAAAAAUCUUUUCUAUGGGAAGAAAAUGACAGUAUCAUAGGAAUAAGGACCGGCUAACUACGUGCCAGCAGCCGCGGUAAUACGUAAGGUCCGAGCGUUGUCCGGAAUUAUUGGGCGUAAAGGGUACGUAGGCGGGUAAGCAAGUUAGAAGUGAAAUCCUAUAGCUCAACUAUAGUAAGCUUUUAAAACUGCUCAUCUUGGGGUAUGGAAGGGAAAGUUGGAAUCCUAGUGUAGCGGUGAAAUGCGCAGAUAUUAGGAGGAAUACCGGUGGCGAAGGCGACUUGCUGGCCAUAACCUGACGCUGAGGUACGAAAGCGAGGGUAGCAAACAGG